UGGGCAAGUUCCUUAACCUGUUUGCCUCAUUAUUCUUAAGUGUAAAAUGAGCUGGAGAAGGAAAUGGUGAACCAUUGCAGAAUCUCUGCCAAGAAAACCCCAAAUGAGGACACGAAGAAUGAGACAUGACUGAAAUAACUCAACAACAACUAAGCACCAGGUGAAGGAGGCACACCUUGGAGAGACCCAAGACAAGGAAGUCAAUCAACAAGCAUCGGUUAAAAACCUGGUAGGCCUUGAGGACCAGCCCAGUUGAUUCUGGAGAGGCUUACCACCUAAGCUGGCCACCGAAGAAUGGAAGCUUCUCCUGUAACAACUCAAGAAGAUUGUCCACUACGAUGCUGGGGAGGGGAGGGGUCAUGAUCAACCCUGGUGGAGGGAAACACACACCUGUUGUAUUGAAGCUCAAAUCACACCUUCUCAGGAAAACCAGGCCUGACUAUCCUGUCUCUCACCAAACUGGACAGGUAACUCUCUGUUUUAUACACCAGCAUUUUUUACAUGAUGCCUCAUGGCUCACUGAAGCUUCCUGAUCAAA
rnacentral:lncRNA from 1 species